rnacentral:rRNA from 1 species
UACGUAGGGAGCGAGCGUUGUCCGGAAUUACUGGGUGUAAAGGGAGCGUAGGCGGGAAGGCAAGUCAGGUGUGAAAACUACAGGCUCAACCUGUAGACUGCACUUGAAACUGUUUUUCUUGAGUGAAGUAGAGGCAGGCGGAAUUCCUAGUGUAGCGGUGAAAUGCGUAGAUAUUAGGAGGAACACCAGUGGCGAAGGCGGCCUGCUGGGCUUUUACUGACGCUGAGGCUCGAAAGCGUGGGGAG